rnacentral:lncRNA from 1 species
CAUUUGGAUUAUAUUUUAUAUAGACAGCGUUGUUUAAUUAAAAAAAACAGUAAUAAUGAAAAAAUCUUCUUUUCUUUUCAGGGUAAAUUCAUCAGGAUUAACUUUGAUGUUACUGGUUACAUUGUGGGGGCCAACAUCGAGACAUACUUGUUGGAAAAGUCUCGUGCUGUUCGUCAGGCCAAAGACGAGCGGACGUUUCACAUCUUCUACCAACUGCUGGCUGGAGCAGGAGAACAUCUCAAGUCUGACUUGCUGCUCGAAGGAUUUAACAAUUACAGAUUUUUAUCUAAUGGCUACAUCCCCAUUCCUGGGCAACAAGACAAGGAUAACUUCCAGGAGACAAUGGAAGCCAUGCAUAUCAUGGGGUUUUCACACGAUGAGAUCUUGUGUAAGUUAUUGAGCCCUUUGCAUUUUCAGAGUGUACUUUUCUGUCUUACACACAUAAACACACUUGAUAACUUUAUGUCA